rnacentral:rRNA from 1 species
AAUCAACGCUGGCGGCGCGCUUAACACAUGCAAGUCGAACGAGAAAGUGGAGCAAUCCAUGAGUAAAGUGGCGUACGGGUGAGUAACACGUGGGUAAUCUACCUUUUGGUGGGGAAUAAC